AUGGUGGGUCGUAGAAACGCUUCGGGGGAAGUUUAUUUUCCCGAAGAGGAAAGUCCGGGCAACGAAAAGCAACCGGCCAGAGAAUAUCUGGACUCUGCGAAAGCAGGGAUGGAAAGUGCCACAGAAAACAUACCGCUGGGGGGAUUAUUUAAAAGCCAUAAGGCUUUUUUACCUCUCCCCCAGCAAGGGUGAAAAGGUAGUGUAAGAGACUACCGCAGAUGGUAUAAAUCAUCUGGCAUGGCAAACCCCCGGGGUUGCAAGGUCAAGUAGCAUUCCAUUUUGUGGCUUUACAAAAGACCUUAUGGUCUGGAAUGCGGGUGGACCGCUGGAUUUCUUCUGCGAAGAAGAAACAAGAUGGAUGUUUCAGGAAGAUUCAAUCUUCCACAGAACCCGGCUUAUAGACCCACCAUUUUU
rnacentral:RNase_P_RNA from 1 species